AAUAUUGCGCAAUGGGGGAAACCCUGACGCAGCAACGCCGCGUGAGUGAAGAAGGCCCUCGGGUUGUAAAGCUCUUUAGACAGAGAAGAAGGGCGGCUAGGUAAACAAUCUAGUUGUUUGACGGUAUCUGUAGAAUAAGCACCGGCUAACUCCGUGCCAGCAGCCGCGGUAAUACGGAGGGUGCAAGCGUUGUUCGGAAUCAUUGGGCGUAAAGCGCACGUAGGCGGGUUUGUAUGUCGAUUGUGAAAGCCCUGGGCUUAACCUGGGAAUUGCAGUCGAAACUGCAGAUCUUGAAUACCUGAGAGGGUGGGAGAAUUCCUGGUGGAGUAGUGAAAUACGUAGAGAUCAGGAGGAAUACCUGAGGCGAAGGCGCCUGCCUGGCAGUGUAUUGACGCUGAGGUGCGAAAGCGUGGGGAGC
rnacentral:rRNA from 1 species